rnacentral:misc_RNA from 1 species
UUGAUUUAUUUAAAUUUUGUUAUCAGACUUCAAGUUAUCAAAGAGUUAGUUUCUUCGGCGGGCACAAAUCCGCACCAGGGCCGACGUCAAACACUCCAAAAUCAAUUGAAGUUAUAUAACGACCCGCCGAAGCUGCUUUUCAGCUGAAAUACACAAGGGUGGAGAGGUGUCCGAUUUAACGAACGCACUCGGUAAUGAUCCUUCCGCAGGUUCACCUACGGAAA